rnacentral:lncRNA from 1 species
AUUACAGACUGCUGCUGCUUCCCUUUUUGUCUGCAGCAGCCGCUGGAGUGACCAUUCUGAUGAGGAAGACAGCCAGCUUGCUACAGACUCUCCUGGGCCCAGUUGUAAGCUAAGCAGGUUCAAUGUUGUUGAACUCCUCCGUGUUCAUCAUCAGCUGACCAACACCUUUGAGCUGCCACACGGCCGAGACCACGGGAAUGGUCCCUUACAACCAAGCGCAUCCUGUCUCUGACCACAGAAAACUGCGGAUCUCUUACUGGAAGGUAUAAAAACUUCACUGUCAAUAUAAAUAUUCCAACUAUUUAAUUAUACCCCACUUAGUGUUUAUGGGAUCAGC